UCUUUGUUAGUAUAUCGGUUAGUACACUCGCCUGUCAUAUCACCAGAAAGACGUUAAUGCUGAGCGCGCGAAAGCUGGGUUCGACUCCCAGACAGAGAG